UACGUAGGGUCCGAGCGUUGUCCGGAAUUAUUGGGCGUAAAGGGCUCGUAGGCGGUUCGCCACGUCGGGAGUGAAAACUCGGGGCUUAACCCCGAGCCUGCUUCCGAUACGGGCAGACUAGAGGUAGGCAGGGGAGAGCGGAACUCCUGGUGUAGCGGUGGAAUGCGCAGAUAUCAGGAAGAACACCGGUGGCGAAGGCGGCUCUCUGGGCCUUACCUGACGCUGAGGCACGAAAGCGUGGGGAGCAAACAGG
rnacentral:rRNA from 1 species